rnacentral:rRNA from 1 species
GCCUGUUUAUCAAAAACAUCGCCUCCUGCAACACAACCAUGUAUAGGAGGUCCAGCCUGCCCAGUGACUACAAGUUCAACGGCCGCGGUAUUUUGAGCGCAAUCACUUGUCUUUUAAAUAGACUGUCUCCCCUUUCCAGUCAGUGAAAUUGAUCUACCCGUGCAGAGACGAGAAGACCCUUUGGAGCUUAAGGUACAAAACUCAACCACGUCAAGCAACUCAAUAAAAAGCAAAAACUUUGUGAAACAUGAGAUUUUACCUUCGGUUGGGGCGACCACGGAGGAAAACAAAGCCUCCAAGUGGACUGGGAAAACCUCCUAAAACCAAGAGAGACAUCUCUAAGCCACAGAACAUCUGACCAAACAUGAUCCGGCCACCCAAAGCCGAUCAACGAACCAAGUUACCCUAGGGAUAACAGCGCAGUCCUCUCCCAGAGUCCAUAUCGACGAGAGGGUUUACGACCUCGAUGUUGGAUCAGGACAUCCUAAUGGUGCAGCCGCUAUCAAGGGUUCGUUUGUUCAACGAUGAAAGUCCUACGUGAUCUGAGUUCCAAACCCGGA